rnacentral:ncRNA from 1 species
GCUAAUACAGUGCGCAGGAAGAGUAUAACGAAAGAUGCUUCAAGAGAGAGAGACUAUAUGCUGAGAAGUUUCUUAAGCAAUCGCGUUAGAAAGUCACCUGCAAGUUGCUUUUUUGAACGGCUCAGUCCUAUUAGAAAAAGUCGGCGAAAAGCCGUUAUCUUUUCAAGUGCAAAAGCGCCCAAAGUGUGGCGUUUUUUGAAAAAAGGUGGUACCGCGAACUUCACUCCUUUCGUCCUUUUC